rnacentral:rRNA from 1 species
GAGUUUGAUCCUGGCUCAGGACGAACGCUGGCGGCGUGCUUAACACAUGCAAGUCGAGCGGUAAGGCUCCUUCGGGAGUACACGAGCGGCGAACGGGUGAGGUAACACGUGAGCAAUCUGCCCUUCACAUCGGGAUAACUUCGGGAAACCGAAGCUAAUACCGGAUACGACCACCGAUGGCAUCUUCUGGUGGUAGAAAGUUCCGGCGGUGAAGGAUGAGCUCGCGGCCUAUCAGCUUGUUGGUGGGGUAAUGGCCUACCAAGGCGACGACGGGUAGCCGGCCUGAGAGGGUGACCGGCCACACUGGGACUGAGACACGGCCCAGACUCCUACGGGAGGCAGCAGUGGGGAAUAUUGGACAAUGGGCGAAAGCCUGAUCCAGCAACGCCGCGUGAGGGAUGACGGCC